rfam:Perkinsus marinus ATCC 50983 gcontig_1104296680622, whole genome shotgun sequence.
CACCUGGUUGAUCCUGCCAGUAGUCAUAUGCUUGUCUCAAAGAUUAAGCCAUGCAUGUCUAAGUAUAAGCUUUAAACGGCGAAACU